GCAGUGUCUAUUUUUUGUGUUUUGGUGAGUGCUGAUUGAAUUUUUAGUAAAUUGUUGGGUCCAAGUGUGGCCAGUGACGGGAUAGCAACGGUUUGUGACGACGAUACAAUUUUCGAUAAAAAUUCAUAAUGUCUUAUUUAAAAUUGGUAGGUGGUGGUUUGUGAAACAUUGUUCAAGACUCGAAAGCCCUCAUCUAAAACGAAAUUUUGCCAAAAAACGUUUUAUUUAAGGUUACCUGUCAGGUGAGAAAAUAUUAUCUGAAAAAUCCACAGACGUGUUGAUUUUAGUUGAGAACUGUCAGUCUGACGUUUUUUUCCGUCAUCGAAAUUUGUCGUCUACAAAAAAGUGUCGAAAAUCCGGUUAGAAUUGGUGGUGAUUUAUUUAAAAGUGAUCAAAUUGAAUGUGUAGUGUCUAUUUUUUCCAUUUUGGUGAGUGCCGGUAGAAUUUUUAUAAAUUGUGUGGGUCCAAGUGUGGCCAGUGACGGGGUAGCAGUGGUCAGAGACGGCGAUACAAUUUUCGAUAAAAUGCACACUAUCCGAUCUAAUAGCGGUAGGUGGUGGUUUGUGAAACAUUGUUCAAGACUCGAAAGCCCUCAUCUAAAACGAAAUUUUGCCAAAAAACGUUUUACUUAUGGUUACCUGUCAGGUGAGAAAAUUUUCUCUGAAAAAUUCAGAGACGUGUUGAUUUUAGUUGAGAACUGUCAGUCUGACGUUUUUUUCUGUCAUCGAAAUUUGUUGUGUAAUAAACUGCAACAAAAGUGCUCGAAAUCCUUUUGUAAUCGGUUGUGAUUUAUUUAAAAGUGAUCAAGUUGGAUGUGCAGUGUCUAUUUUUUUUUUUUUGGUGGUGGUGUGUGAAACAUUGUUCAAGACUCGAAAGCCCCCAUAUAAACGAAAUUUUGCCAAUUUCAAAAAAUUUGAGGUUACCUGUCAGGUGAGAAACGAGAGCCGCGGAUUUUGGGCCAUCGAAAGGAACCUAUCUAAAAUAGAAAUUAUACUUAUCUGCUAACAUAAAAGAGCAAGAUGGUUAUGAGUUAUGACGUGAUUCUAUAUUAUUCGGAUGGACACAGAUUACUUGCAGAUAGGACACUCUUCCAAACCACAGAUUAUCUAUUUUACAACAGAUACGUCGUAUUUAUGAAGGAUUUGGAUUAGCUUAUUUGGUGCGAUUAUUGAUACUAUUGCAUAUAUUGCCAACCGAAUCCCCUAAACUUUUAAUACGUGCUUACUAUGAUAGUAAAAUGUGUAACAUAACCUUAAAAUUGUUUAUUAUGAAAUUAUAAUAAGUGUUUAAUUACACUAUUAAAAUAAAUUAAACGAAAUUUAGAAUUUUGUUGGACGAAACUGUUUUUAUUAAUACCCGCUGCAUUUUUCAAGGUCACCGAAAUCUCACAGCGCGCUACUAUAGCCUGUGCUUUAUUGCCAUGAUAACUGACAUUUAAAUACGCACUAUUCAAUGUAAAAAAUGUGAAAAAAUUGGUAAAUUAUCAAUGUAUUUUUUUUAUUUAACUAAUUUUUGUGUAUUU